AACAGCUCAAAUUUGAAAUCUGGCCCCUCCCGGGUCCGAGUUGUAAUUUGUAGAGGACGCCCCGGGUGCGGCCGCGGUCUAAGUUCCUUGGAACAGGACGUCAUAGAGGGUGAGAAUCCCGUACGUGACCGAUGGUCAAGCCCGUGUGGGGCUCCUUCGACGAGUCGAGUUGUUUGGGAAUGCAGCUCUAAAUGGGUGGUAAAUUUCAUCUAAAGCUAAACAGUGGCCGGAGACCGAUAGUGCACAAGUAGAGUGAUCGAAAGAUGAAAAGCACUUUGGAAAGAGAGUUAAAAAGUACGUGAAAUUGUUGAAAGGGAAGCGCUGGCAACCAGACUUGCUUCCCGGUGAUCAGCCGCUAUUCUUAACGGUGGACGCACCGGGAGACAGGCCAGCAUCGGUCUUGGUGGCCGGAGAACCCCCCCGGAAUGUAGCUCCCCUCGGGGAGUGUUAUAGCCGGGAGGACCAUGCGGCCCACCGGGACCGAGGAUCGCGCUUUGGCCCGGAUGCUGGCGUAAUGGUUGUCAGCGGCCCGUCUUGAAACACGGACCAAGGAGUCUUCCCUACACGCGAGUGUUUGGGUGUCAAACCCACACGCGGAAUGAAAGUGAACGGAGGUGGGAACCCUUUAGGGUGCACCAUCGACCGAUCCAGAUGUCUUCGGAUGGAUUUGAGUAAGAGCGUGCCGGGAGGGACCCGAAAGAUAGUGAACUAUACUUGAAUAGGGUGAAGCCAGAGGAAACUCUGGUGGAGGCUCGCAGCGGUUCUGACGUGCAAAUCGAUCGUCGAAUUUGAGUAUAGGGGCGAAAGACUAAUCGAACUAUCUAGUAGCUGGUUCACGUCGAAGUUUCCCUCAGGAUAGCAGUAACGUUUUCAGUUUUAUGAGGUAAAGCGAAUGAUUAGAGGCCUUGGGGCUGAAACAGCCUUAACCUAUUCUCAAACUUUAAAUAUGUAAGAAGUCCUUGUUACUUAGUUGAACGUGGACAUUUGAAUGCACCGUUACUAGUGGGCCAUUUUUGGUAAGCAGAACUGGCGAUGCGGGAUGAACCGAACGUGAGGUUAAGGUGCCGGAAUUCACGCUCAUCAGAUACCACAAAAGGUGUUAAUUCAUCCAGACAGCCGGACGGUGGCCACGGAAGUCGGAAUCCGCUAAGGAGUGUGUAACAACUCACCGGCCGAAUGAAUUAGCCCUGAAAAUGGAUGGCGCUCAAGCGUGAUACCUAUACCUCACCGCCA
rnacentral:rRNA from 1 species